AAAAAAAUGGUGGUUCAGGAAUCACCCUCCUUUUUGUUUCAGUGUUCAUCCCUCCUCCCUCAUCCAGGCAGCUCUGUGUAUCUGGUGAAAUUGCCUCUGGACCAUCAGAGUGGGCUUGAUUGGUUUGAAGAACUUUCAAAGGGAGCUCUCAUGAAUGGAAGUCAGUAAACUGGGAUUCAGAGGUCACAUCUGGCUCUCCAUCUGGUUUUGUAAAAUGGACUUUAUUCCUAAACAGGUAUGCUCACACAUUUA
rnacentral:lncRNA from 1 species